UAUCAAAACCCCAACUUUAGCAAGACCAUCAGCUAUUAAGUUUAGCUCCUGGCUGAUAUGAUUAAAGGUGACUUUCCUGAUGGAUUUAGAAAGAGUUUCAAUGGCAUUGGAGAUUAGUUUCAUACGCCAAGGGACUUUGCUAUGGUCUCUCGUCCAGAGAAUGGCGUUAAGGGAAUCGCUUUCAACUUCCAAGUCAGAGUUGGAGGCCCAUGGAGAGGCAAGGAAAAAU
rnacentral:lncRNA from 1 species